ACCUGAAGCCCCCAGUUCCUGCUGACCAUCUCUCCCCUGAUCAGUCCCAGAAGACUCUGGAACUAUUUGAAUAAACCUCAGGUAGAUGAUUUAGGGCUAAGGAUAGAAGUUAAAAGUUC
rnacentral:lncRNA from 1 species